UUUUAAUCUUGCAGCUGUAUGUGACAUUAAUAGUCUUAGGCUCUCUGCUAUAUUUAUGGAGCAUUCUGAAAACUUUGUUAUGGGGCAUAAAGCACACACUUUAUCAGCCUAGGGUUACUAUUGGCAUUAUCAAGAUAAAUAAUAAUUGUUUCCAGACAGAAGAAACAACAACAACAACAAAAAACUUAGUUACUUAAAACACUUUCCUUUCAUUAAAAUGUUUCAAAGCUUGAUAUUUAAGGUUUUUUAUGAAAAAGGCAAAAAUAAAAAAUUAUCGCGAUUUUUAUGAUCUAAGCAAUGUAAUAUAAUAGUCCUGGGCAUCAUGGCUCCCUGCAGAAAAAUCCCAGUGCACUAAAAUUUUAUUCAAAAAGCUUGGUCAAAGGGUAACUUGGGGUUACAGGAAUACCCUAUACACAACACAUCACCUUGCUUUUGAGCACAAGAAUAACCUACAGCACCAGGAUGUAUUCAUCAGCAUAGGAUAGUGUAUUUACUGGUGCAGGCAGGCAGAAACAGCUGGAUCUUCCUUUGGCAAAGGCCACUGAUAAGCUGCGCAGACUUCACAGUGAAUAGCUUUUUCUUCAGCCACACGAUCAAGCAGCUGUAAGAACAGAUUUAUGAAAGAAGCUUCUGAUGUUGUUCUCAGAUUCUGUACUUUUAAUAAACCUAUUUCCACUACUUUGUCAAAGAAAUAGCUGGUCUUCAAAAUGGAGUGCAUUACAUACGACAUCUUUGUAGUCAAACACACUAUUCUGCAUGCAGACCUCAGACAUUUCCUAGGGCUUCUGUGUUUCUCUAACAUCUGCUCAUGUUAGAAUGUGUUUUUAUUGCUAUAGGCUGAAAACUGAACAAAACUACAGAAAAGUAUGCAAGAUUUUAACAGGGCAAGCAAGAGUGGGUUUUGUAGUGACCUAAAGCAAACAAACAUUGACAGUAAGAGACAUAAUCUGUUUACAAUCCUAAAGCGCAUGUGUUGGAACAUUUCUCUUGUAAACGAACAGUACAGACACUCAGGAAAAACACUGCGACAUUUAAGGCUAACUCUGCAAAUGAAUACUUAAAUCUUGUAUUAUAACUUUUGCCUUUUCAAAGCACUAUCCAGAGAGAUUGCUCCUUGGUAUGUUCCAAGUAUUGCUGUACUUUAAGAAACUGGCAGGUCACUUUCCGAAAUGAGAGAAGUGGUCUCCUUUGAAGCUAACUGAAACAGGCUGCUAAGUAAGUCUGCAAAUAAGUGUAUUUUUUAUUUUAAAAAGCAGUAUAAGCAUUCUUGAUUUCAAAUAAUAUUUAUUCACUAGACCAUGCUGAAACUCAAAUAAAGGAGAUGAACAUAGACAAAUGCUUUCCCAGUUUUCUCUUCAGUACUUCUGAAGGCGGGAGAUAGGAAGAAAAUCUGACUUGAUUCCUGCAGAAUCUUUCAGCUGACCCCAAAAACUGUGCGUUAUGGUUGUUUGCUUUACUUCAUUAGGUGCUAUAGCAGUAUUUUAAGGUUCCUCCUUGGAAAUAGAUUUAUUUGAAUUAUUAAAAAUAUUAAAUUCUAGUUUCAGCUACUAAUUGCUGCCAGGGGAAUUUUUAAAAAUUAUGAAGUGAAUUCUCCAAAAGAUCCAUUAAGCUAGUUUUUAGGACAAACCUUCUCUUGAAAUUUAUUUGUGGACUUAAUAAAAUUACAAUGAACAAUUCUGCAAUGAACAAUGCUGCAUCCUUGCAGCAAACUGGACAGACCUGCAAACGAGCAUUACUCUGCUACCUCAAGUACAACAAAGCUUCUGUACUUCCACUUAAAUUACCCAUUGAAAUACGAACUGAAUGAUGCCAUGACAGACCUCUUCUCCCACCACAUCGCCUCUAUUUCACAACA
rnacentral:lncRNA from 1 species